rnacentral:rRNA from 1 species
UACGGAGGGUGCAAGCGUUAUCCGGAUUCACUGGGUUUAAAGGGUGCGUAGGUGGAUUAGUAAGUCAGUGGUGAAAUCUCCGAGCUUAACUCGGAAACUGCCAUUGAUACUAUUAGUCUUGAAUAUUGUGGAGGUGAGCGGAAUAUGUCAUGUAGCGGUGAAAUGCUUAGAUAUGACAUAGAACACCAAUUGCGAAGGCAGCUGGCUACACAAAUAUUGACACUGAGGCACGAAAGCGUGGGGAGCAAACAGG